UAUAGCGUAAACGUACCGUUAGCACAAAUUCAAGAAAACAAUCACACAUUUCUACACAAAGUUUCACACAAAAGAUUUUCCCACACAAAGACAAACGGUCACAAGCAUAUACCAUGAGGAAAAAAUUAAGUGCGUACACAAAAUUAA